rnacentral:rRNA from 1 species
UCUGUUUGAUUCUGGCUCAGAACGAACGCUGGCGGCGUGGAUAAGACAUGCAAGUCGAACGGGAUAGUUUUGUAGCAAUACCGAACUGUUCAGUGGCGAACGGGUGCGUAACACGUGGAUUACAUACCGGAAAGCGAGGAAUAGCCCAGGGAAACUUGGAUUAAUACCUCAUGUGGUCGCAAGACUAAAGGCGGGGCAACCUGUCGCUUUCUGAUUGGUCCGCGGCCUAUCAGCUAGUUGGCGGGGUAACGGCCCACCAAGGCGACGACGGGUAGCUGGUCUGAGAGGAUGACCAGCCACACUGGAACUGAGACACGGUCCAGACACCUACGGGUGGCAGCAGUCGAGAAUCAUUCACAAUGGGCGAAAGCCUGAUGGUGUGACGCCGCGUGGAGGAUGACGGUCUUCGGAUUGUAAACUCCUGUCAUGUGAGAGUAAGAACCAGGGAGUAACUGCCUGUGGUUUUGAGAGUAUCACAAGAGGAAGAGGCGGCUAACUCUGUGCCAGCAGCCGCGGUAAUACAGAGGCCUCAAGCGUUGUUCGGAAUCACUGGGCGUAAAGGGUGCGUAGGCGGCGCGGAAAGUCAGGGGUGAAAUCCCGGAGCUCAACUCCGGAACUGCCUUUGAUACUCCCGCGCUUGAGAACUGGAGGGGACAUCGGAAUUCACGGUGGAGCAGUGAAAUGCGUGGAUAUCGUGAGGAACACUAGUGGCGAAGGCGGAUGUCUGGACAGUAUCUGACGCUGAGGCACGAAGGCCAGGGGAGCGAACGGGAUUAGAUACCCCGGUAGUCCUGGCAGUAAACGGUGCACGCUUGGUAUGGGGGGAUUCGACCCCUCCCGUGCCGGAGCUAACGCGUUAAGCGUGCCGCCUGGGAAGUACGGUCGCAAGAUUAAAACUCAAAGAAAUUGACGG